rnacentral:rRNA from 2 species
CCUGGCGGCUGUAGCGCGGUGGUCCCACCUGACCCCAUGCCGAACUCAGAAGUGAAACGCCGUAGCGCCGAUGG